UACGGGGGGGGCAAGCGUUGUUCGGAAUUACUGGGCGUAAAGGGCUCGUAGGUGGCCAACUAAGUCAGACGUGAAAUCCCUCAGCUUAACUGGGGAACUGCGUCUGAUACUGGAUGGCUUGAGAUUGGGAGAGGGAUGCGGAAUUCCAGGUGUAGCGGUGAAAUGCGUAGAUAUCUGGAGGAACACCGGUGGCGAAGGCGGCAUCCUGGACCAACACUGACACUGAGGAGCGAAAGCGUGGGGAGCGAACAGG
rnacentral:rRNA from 1 species